rnacentral:lncRNA from 1 species
CUUUUUUUUUUCACUUGCUCAACAAGCCAGCAGUAUAAAAUAACUUUGGAAGAACAUGUUGUUAUCAUUUCUGCACAGCUGUAGUUUAAAGGAGAGAAAACUCCUAGCUUUCAAAACUGGCAGUCCAUGAUAUGGUGGAGGAGCCCAUUGAAGAAGGUGCACAUCCUGGUGUGGUCUCUACCCUGACCUCAUGAAAAAUCCUUGCAUUGCAAGUGAAUCCAAGAACUGACAACAGUUUCACUGAGCUGGACUAGAAAGGACCGACUGUGUCACAAUAGCUGCUAUGCACAAGUUUCUUACACUGAAAACUGAAUGACACUUCCAGAAAGAGACACUGCCUUUUUCAAGCAGACUGAUUCACUGUGAAUGAGGAGAGCUUCCCAGCACUGCAGGGCCAACCCCUGGAUUUUUCAGUUCUGCUGUUGUGAAAAUGCCUUGUGAAGCAAGAUUAAAGCUUCUGGAACCUGCUGUCUUCAGCCUAUAUAAAUUGCAGAGGACACAGCUUUCAAUGUAUUACAGUGUUGGGAUCCAUGUGCUAUGGUGCUGUUCCCUCCAAAGAGUUUAUGACCCCUCCCCUGGACACCAUUUCAACAAAUGGUGUUUAUACCAUGUCUCUUCAAACUCAAGUGCAAUGCUGUGUCUUGUGCAGCCAUUUCAAGGUUCCCUACUACCUUGAUGAGCCCACCUUGAUGAGCUAGUUCCAUCAAAAAGUAUUACAGUGAACUGAAGGACUAUAUCUUUUUCCUUAAUAACCACGGCAGUGGUGGAAAAUGCAAAGGAAGAUCAACAACUUCUAUGGUUGCAAAUGGCCAUGGCAAUUAACAAGCUGGUUGAAAAACUGAACAUGUGGCAACAUGGAAAAAAAUACUAUUUUAACCCAUGCUAAAGAAAAAAAAUGUUUUAGAACUUGUGUCUUUGUGUUGUCCAGUUUUGUGAGCACUAAGUGAUUAUACGAUUCAGAAGAGCUGUUUGAAAUUGGCUAAAAGAGCUUUGUUUCUUGGAGUGACAUAAAUAUUUAUGAAGACAUAAAUAUAUACAACUCACACUUUACCUCAACAUUCUUGCUGCUGCUUCACCUCAAGGUUAGCUGUUCAAGCAAUGAAUGUUGGGGCCAAGAGUCACAAAUUCUCACCUUCUUUUAGAAGCGCUUAUUCUGAGACAUAUUUUGUCCUUGUUUAGUUUAAGCUCUGGGCUUGAACUCCUUGUUUAUAUGAACUAUAUUUCACAUUUUGUGGUUUUGACAUUCUUGUUGAAUGUCAUUUUCCAUGGUUCUUGCAUCUUCUCUGUGUGUGUGUGAACGGGGAUAUCACUUAACUGUCUUGCUAAGGUAGAAUGUGGUUUUUAAAAAUGACCAAGCCUUGUCACCAAGCUGCA